rnacentral:misc_RNA from 1 species
AACGCACCUUGCGCCCUUUGGUAAUCCGAGGGGCAUGCCUGUUUGAGUGUCUUGAAGCUCUCAGACCUUUACUUUAUUGAAAAGGUUUGGAUUUGGGUGUCUUUGCGGGACUUGCAAAAGUCCGGCUCACCCUAAAUGCAUUAGCUGGCUUUUGGGUCCGCGACUCGGUGUGAUAAUUGUCACUCGCUGGGUUUCGCUCUCCUGUGGAAGCCGCUUCCAAUCGUCUUAGGACAAUUUUCAAGUGUUUGACCUCAAAUCAGGUAGGGACUACCCGCUGAACUUAA